UUUAAAUGUAAAAUAAUUAUACUAAAGUAGUAUUAGUUAUGUUCUUGAAAUUUAAAGAUUUUGGCGGUAUUUUAGUCUAUUUAGAGGAGCCUGUUCUAUGAUUGAUAGUCCACGAUUAAUUUUACUUAAUUUAUAUAAAUUUGUAUACCGUCGUUAUAAGAAGAUUUUAAAAGAAUAUAAAUUUUUAAUAUUUUAUAUAAAAAAAUAUAUCAGAUCAAGGUGCAGUUUAUAAUUAAGAAGAAAUGGGCUACAAUAAAUUUAUUUAAUUAUACAGAUUAAAGGUAGAAAUAACUUUAUGAAGGUGGAUUUAAUAGUAAUAAAAUUAAUUUAAAUUUUAUGAUUUUAGCUCUAAAAUAUG
rnacentral:rRNA from 1 species